GGGUUGUGAGGUUAAGCGACUAAGCGUACACGGUGGAUGCCCUGGCAGUCAGAGGCGAUGAAGGACGUGCUAAUCUGCGAUAAGCGUCGGUAAGGUGAUAUGAACCGUUAUAACCGGCGAUUUCCGAAUGGGGAAACCCAGUGUGAUUCGUCACACUAUCAUUAACUGAAUCCAUAGGUUAAUGAGGCGAACCGGGGGAACUGAAACAUCUAAGUACCCCGAGGAAAAGAAAUCAACCGAGAUUCCCCCAGUAGCGGCGAGCGAACGGGGAGCAGCCCAGAGCCUGAAUCAGUGUGUGUGUUAGUGGAAGCGUCUGGAAAGGCGCGCGAUACAGGGUGACAGCCCCGUACACAAAAAUGCACAUGCUGUGAGCUCGAUGAGUAGGGCGGGACACGUGGUAUCCUGUCUGAAUAUGGGGGGACCAUCCUCCAAGGCUAAAUACUCCUGACUGACCGAUAGUGAACCAGUACCGUGAGGGAAAGGCGAAAAGAACCCCGGCGAGGGGAGUGAAAAAGAACCUGAAACCGUGUACGUACAAGCAGUGGGAGCACGCUUAGGCGUGUGACUGCGUACCUUUUGUAUAAUGGGUCAGCGACUUAUAUUCUGUAGCAAGGUUAACCGAAUAGGGGAGCCGAAGGGAAACCGAGUCUUAACUGGGCGUUAAGUUGCAGGGUAUAGACCCGAAACCCGGUGAUCUAGCCAUGGGCAGGUUGAAGGUUGGGUAACACUAACUGGAGGACCGAACCGACUAAUGUUGAAAAAUUAGCGGAUGACUUGUGGCUGGGGGUGAAAGGCCAAUCAAACCGGGAGAUAGCUGGUUCUCCCCGAAAGCUAUUUAGGUAGCGCCUCGUGAAUUCAUCUCCGGGGGUAGAGCACUGUUUCGGCAAGGGGGUCAUCCCGACUUACCAACCCGAUGCAAACUGCGAAUACCGGAGAAUGUUAUCACGGGAGACACACGGCGGGUGCUAACGUCCGUCGUGAAGAGGGAAACAACCCAGACCGCCAGCUAAGGUCCCAAAGUCAUGGUUAAGUGGGAAACGAUGUGGGAAGGCCCAGACAGCCAGGAUGUUGGCUUAGAAGCAGCCAUCAUUUAAAGAAAGCGUAAUAGCUCACUGGUCGAGUCGGCCUGCGCGGAAGAUGUAACGGGGCUAAACCAUGCACCGAAGCUGCGGCAGCGACGCUGAUGCGUUGUUGGGUAGGGGAGCGUUCUGUAAGCCUGCGAAGGUGUGCUGUGAGGCAUGCUGGAGGUAUCAGAAGUGCGAAUGCUGACAUAAGUAACGAUAAAGCGGGUGAAAAGCCCGCUCGCCGGAAGACCAAGGGUUCCUGUCCAACGUUAAUCGGGGCAGGGUGAGUCGACCCCUAAGGCGAGGCCGAAAGGCGUAGUCGAUGGGAAACAGGUUAAUAUUCCUGUACUUGGUGUUACUGCGAAGGGGGGACGGAGAAGGCUAUGUUGGCCGGGCGACGGUUGUCCCGGUUUAAGCGUGUAGGCUGGUUUUCCAGGCAAAUCCGGAAAAUCAAGGCUGAGGCGUGAUGACGAGGCACUACGGUGCUGAAGCAACAAAUGCCCUGCUUCCAGGAAAAGCCUCUAAGCAUCAGGUAACAUCAAAUCGUACCCCAAACCGACACAGGUGGUCAGGUAGAGAAUACCAAGGCGCUUGAGAGAACUCGGGUGAAGGAACUAGGCAAAAUGGUGCCGUAACUUCGGGAGAAGGCACGCUGAUAUGUAGGUGAAGUCCCUCGCGGAUGGAGCUGAAAUCAGUCGAAGAUACCAGCUGGCUGCAACUGUUUAUUAAAAACACAGCACUGUGCAAACACGAAAGUGGACGUAUACGGUGUGACGCCUGCCCGGUGCCGGAAGGUUAAUUGAUGGGGUCAGCGCAAGCGAAGCUCUUGAUCGAAGCCCCGGUAAACGGCGGCCGUAACUAUAACGGUCCUAAGGUAGCGAAAUUCCUUGUCGGGUAAGUUCCGACCUGCACGAAUGGCGUAAUGAUGGCCAGGCUGUCUCCACCCGAGACUCAGUGAAAUUGAACUCGCUGUGAAGAUGCAGUGUACCCGCGGCAAGACGGAAAGACCCCGUGAACCUUUACUAUAGCUUGACACUGAACAUUGAGCCUUGAUGUGUAGGAUAGGUGGGAGGCUUUGAAGUGUGGACGCCAGUCUGCAUGGAGCCGGCCUUGAAAUACCACCCUUUAAUGUUUGAUGUUCUAACGUUGACCCGUAAUCCGGGUUGCGGACAGUGUCUGGUGGGUAGUUUGACUGGGGCGGUCUCCUCCUAAAGAGUAACGGAGGAGCACGAAGGUUGGCUAAUCCUGGUCGGACAUCAGGAGGUUAGUGCAAUGGCAUAAGCCAGCUUGACUGCGAGCGUGACGGCGCGAGCAGGUGCGAAAGCAGGUCAUAGUGAUCCGGUGGUUCUGAAUGGAAGGGCCAUCGCUCAACGGAUAAAAGGUACUCCGGGGAUAACAGGCUGAUACCGCCCAAGAGUUCAUAUCGACGGCGGUGUUUGGCACCUCGAUGUCGGCUCAUCACAUCCUGGGGCUGAAGUAGGUCCCAAGGGUAUGGCUGUUCGCCAUUUAAAGUGGUACGCGAGCUGGGUUUAGAACGUCGUGAGACAGUUCGGUCCCUAUCUGCCGUGGGCGCUGGAGAACUGAGGGGGGCUGCUCCUAGUACGAGAGGACCGGAGUGGACGCAUCACUGGUGUUCGGGUUGUCAUGCCAAUGGCACUGCCCGGUAGCUAAAUGCGGAAGAGAUAAGUGCUGAAAGCAUCUAAGCACGAAACUUGCCCCGAGAUGAGUUCUCCCUGACUCCUUGAGAGUCCUGAAGGAACGUUGAAGACGACGACGUUGAUAGGCCGGGUGUGUAAGCGCAGCGAUGCGUUGAGCUAACCGGUACUAAUGAACCGUGAGGCUUAACCUUACAACGCCGAAGGUGUUU
rnacentral:rRNA from 1 species